UACGAAGGGGGCUAGCGUUGCUCGGAAUCACUGGGCGUAAAGGGUGCGUAGGCGGGUCUUUAAGUCAGGGGUGAAAUCCUGGAGCUCAACUCCAGAACUGCCUUUGAUACUGAAGAUCUUGAGUUCGGGAGAGGUGAGUGGAACUGCGAGUGUAGAGGUGAAAUUCGUAGAUAUUCGCAAGAACACCAGUGGCGAAGGCGGCUCACUGGCCCGAUACUGACGCUGAGGCACGAAAGCUAGGGGAGCGAAACGGGAGUUAG
rnacentral:rRNA from 1 species